AGCCAUGGCUUUUAAAGACACCGGCAAGAUACCAGUGGAGCCGGAGGUGGCGACCCACCGAAUAAGGAACACCCUCACCAGUCGCAACGUGAAAUCUCUGGAGAAAGUGUGCUCUGACCUGAUCAGAGGUGCAGAGGAAAAGAAUCUCAAAGUGAAAGGGCCAGUUCGCAUGCCUACCAAGACUUUGAGAAUCACUACAAGAAAAACUCCUUCAGGUGAAGGUUUCAAGACAUGGGAUCGCUUCCAGAUGAGAAUCCACAAGCGACUCCCCGACUUUCAUAGUCCUUCCGAGAUUGUCGAGCAGAUUACUUCCGUCAGUAUUGAGCCGGGAGUUGAGGCUGAAGUCACCAUUGCUGAUGCUUAAGUCAAGCAUUUUAAUAAAUUGAUUACACUUGUUAAAAUAA